AUGAUGGACUAUAGGACAGGACUGCUGCUUUUAACUGUCUGCUGGGCAGGUGUUGAUGGUCAGACUCUGACAGAAUCUGAACCAGUGGUUAAAAGACCUGGAGAAUCCCACAGAUUGACCUGUACAGCCUCUGGAUUCACAUUCAGUGCACAGUAUUUGGCUUGGAUCAGACAGGCUCCUGGAAAAGGACUGGAGUGGAUUGCUUAUAUCUAUCCUGAUGGUAGCACCAAAUACUACUCUCAGUCAGUUCAAGGCCGGUUUACCAUCUCCAGAGACAACAGCAGAGAGCAGCUGUAUCUGCAGAUGAACAGUCUGAAGACUGAAGAUUCUGCUGUUUAUUAUUGUGCUCGAGACUCACAGUGACUGGAGUUGGUUGAACAGCUGUACAAAAUCCUCAGUACUCAUUUUGCAGGCUGUCAGAGCCCUGGACUAAACCAAAGCUUAUCGGUCCUGCUGCUCAUGUGCACUAGAUAUUGUUAAAGUUAAUAAUUUUCUACUCUAAACAAAAGUCAUGUG